rnacentral:rRNA from 1 species
GGCUUAACACAUGCAAGUCGAACGGUAGCAGGUAAGUACUUGUACUUAUGCUGACGAGUGGCGGACGGGUGAGUAAUGCUUGGGGAUCUGGCUUAUGGAGGGGGAUAACGACGGGAAACUGUCGCUAAUACCGCGUAGAAUCGAGAGAUGAAAGUGUGGGACCUUCGGGCCACAUGCCAUAGGAUGAACCCAAGUGGGAUUAGGUAGUUGGURGGGUAAUGGCCUACCAAGCCGACGAUCUCUAGCUGGUCUGAGAGGAUGACCAGCCACACCGGGACUGAGACACGGCCCGGACUCCUACGGGAGGCAGCAGUGGGGAAUAUUGCGCAAUGGGGGCAACCCUGACGCAGCCAUGCCGCGUGAAUGAAGAAGGCCUUCGGGUUGUAAAGUUCUUUCGGUGACGAGGAAGGUUGUUGUGUGAAUAGCACAACAAAUUGAC